rnacentral:rRNA from 1 species
GACGAACCGUGCGAACGUUAUCCGGAAUUAUUGGGCGUAAAGAGCUCGUAGGCGGUUUGUCGCGUCUGCCGUGAAAGUCCGGGGCUCAACUCCGGAUCUGCGGUGGGUACGGGCAGACUAGAGUGAUGUAGGGGAGACUGGAAUUCCUGGUGUAGCGGUGAAAUGCGCAGAUAUCAGGAGGAACACCGAUGGCGAAGGCAGGUCUCUGGGCAUUAACUGACGCUGAGGAGCGAAAGCAUGGGGAGCGAACAGG